ensembl:lncRNA
UGAAAAUGUCAUCAGGAAGGACCACAGGACGUACAAAAUGAGCCAUACCCUGGACUGUUGACAUCAAAUCCUGCUUCAAUCAGUUCCCGACUGAUUAUCUGAGUAAAUGGCCCAUGAAUCCUCAUCGCAAAUGCUCUCAGUGCAAUGAGACCCUGUAACAGGAAGUUCAGACAACAACAGCACAUUCAUGUAUGCCCACAACACUUCGAGACAUGUUGUGAACACUUUGCCAAGACUCGCCACGACGUUCUUUUCUCGCCCUUAAAAGAAGACAUGCAGGCAGCUUUCUUUGUCUCUAGUCAUGAUGCCAGAGAGCGAUAGAUCUCAACACACUUGCAUACCUCGAAUCAUAAGGUGUGUCUCUGUCAUUUUCUUCAUCAUGUUUAUUGUUCAGGCGAUAGUUGGAUGCGUGUACAUUUAUGACUGUCCAAGGGCGCCCUCCAUUCCUCUCUUUAUGGUUAUUUGUGGAUUCAUACCUGUCUUCUGGGGACUGAGCCAUUGCAAGAGCAGGUGCAGUAUUUUCUGCAACUGUCUGUUCCUCAUCUUCUGCUUGGCCUGGUUUAUCUUCGGUAGUUUUCUCAUCUACUCCAAUUAUGAACUCGACUACGGCAUGAACACUACAGACAGCAAUCGUUACUGCAACAAGACGCUCUACCUGUUUGGAUUUUGUUGCAUCACCCUGACCUACAUCCUCAUAGGUGUUCUUGUUUUUACAUUUUUUUUUGCUCGCUGCACCAACCAGAUGGAGGUUUACGAUGAUGAGGCUCGGCCACUGCUGUGGCGCUAAUCAUAUGAAUGCAUAUAUGUUUGUGUGUUCCCCACCUCCUCUGAGCCAAGUGGACCAAUACUGAUGAAACAGAUUAGAAUGGUGUCACAAUAAAAAAUGUCAUAUCAAAUAUAUCACACUGUAAUGGACAUAUACUACUACUAAUAAUAAUGACGCUGACUGAAAUAUAAUUAUAAGCAAACAACAGACUAAAUAUUAUAUUAAUAUUUUAAUGUGUGCUUUAUGUAUAUACAGAACUUCAUACAUUUAAUGUUGGUUAAUACAGCAACAUGUAGUUGUUGAUCUUUUGUUAGAGAAAUCUUACAAUUAACAAUUCAUGUUUAAUAUUUUAUCAUAAUUUAUUAAACUCCAUGUACUUUGAAGCUUUAUGAAUACAAACAAAGAUGUUUAUUAUGUAAAUCAUAUGUCGUUCAAUAAGGAGAGAUCAUUAUUACAUUCAUCUGGAAGAAGUGGACAUGAUUUAUUGAGACACAGAAUUCAGUUAAGACACUGAUGACCCAUCACAGCAGAGUAAAUGAUCAUGAUCUUUCCUGUUUAACAAACGUAUAUGAAAUGUGUGAUUUUGUUUAUUUGCCAAUAUCCAUGCUGUUUCUUUUUUGUUUAAUUGUAAACAAACUAAAUAAAUAAAUAAAAGGCUGCCCUUUUUAUUACCCUGUUA